rnacentral:rRNA from 1 species
GAAGUUGUCCCAGGAAAUAACCCCACCGUAUAAACCGUACCCUAAACCAACACAGGUGGACUGGUAGAGUAUACCAAGGCGCUUGAGAGAACUGCGUUGAAGGAACUCGGCAAAAUACUCCCGUAAGUUCGCGAGAAGGGAGACCUCUGAUUGGGCAACCAGUUAGGGGUGGCACAGAAAUGGGGGUGGCGACUGUUUACUAAAAACACAGGGCUCUGCGAAG